AAGAGAUCCCACAUAGUUUUGCAGAGGCCGGCAUAAUUUUAAAACUGUGUGGUUUGCACAGAACAGGGUCAGUAUGUGCUGUAACAGAAUUUAUUGGAAUACAUAGAUUUUUGUGGCAGAUUUACGGUACUGGUACUUGCAAAUGGUUUUGUUUUUUUCUUCUUCUUUUUUUUUUAAUUUUUUUUUUUUUUACAUAAAUGUAUAGUCUGGCAUGAGUCGAGCAGCCGCCCUCAAAUUUAGUUUCAAAGAUCCUUUAUGGGAUCCCUUUAAGGCUCCUGAAGUGGACCGGAGGCUCUAGGAGUCUCCAGAUGGUGCAGACCCCUUCGUAAGCUGAAAUCAAACUCCCACAAACGUGUUCUGAGCAGUCAGCAAGACAACCUCUUGCUCAGACCGUAUCUGCAGUAUAAAUACAUCCUCCUGUUCCAAACAAACAGGAAUCCUGCCAUAUCUGAAAUCUGGCAACUGCCUUCAAAUAAAAUUUACUGUCAUGGCUUGCUAUUUUGCAGCCUGUCUCCUAUCUGUUGGGUCCUCCAGGAUGAAGGGCAGUGGAAAGAGGAUGUCUUUUCUAGGUUAAGGAGGUAUACACUAGCAGUAGAAGCCCAAGUUGGAAGAUUGUCAGUGAAGAACAUAGCUUUUAGGUCCUAGCAGAAACUUCAACUUCAAUGUUGAGGGGGGGAAAAAAAAAAGUGAAGUUUGCAGUUUGCAGGACCUAGUGAAACCUUGAGUAUGAAAAGUAUUUAAGUAUUUGCAUUUAUUUGCUCUCUGACUUUCACUGGGCCUCCUAACCUGCAUUCUGAGGGCUUCCACUUUAUUUUAAGCCUGCUGUAUCACAGUUUUGUGGAAAUGACAAUAAAUGAAAGUAGCCACGCUGUUGUUGGCAUGUUACAAUGUCAGCAAAUUUUGAGUGACUAUUUUGAUGCAGACAUCUCAUAUGAAUUUAUAUUUAUUUAAGUCUAAUUGUAUAAAAACAAACCCUCAAACAACAACCAACAGACAAAAAACCUCCAAAUGUCCCCACAUUAUUUUUAAUACACAUAUUAAACUACGAUUGUAAUAAUUCUCUUUACCAGUACUGAGACAAAUGUAAAAAUAUUUAUUCAGUGGAAUUUUCUGAGUAUAGCUAUCUUAAUCAACAGUGCAAAAUUCUCUUUGGCCAAGCAAUUAAUUUUUUUGAUGGGCAUGUAAAAUAUGUGGGGUUAUUUUCAGUUUAUACAUCCUCCUCACGGUAAAUAAUGCCAAAUAGAUUUAGUAUCUGGACAGACAAAUUUUUCAUUAUCACUUGGAAGCCUGAUUUAAAAUAUAUUACUUUGAGAAAUACAACAUUGAGAUUUUAACCAACCAUAUUGUGCUGCAGCUUAUUGUUCUGUUGCAGGGAUAAUGUAUUAAUGUUUAUUGAGUCCUUUAUAAAUUUAUAUGUGUUAUAUAUAGCCAUAGUUUCCUUUGUGAUCCUCUCUUUUAUUAAGCUGGAAUUUUAUAAAGGUGAAUUUUAAAACUACUGGUCAUUAGAUAGCACGUUGCAGUUUGAGAAAUAUUUUUUGUUUUGUUUUUAAGCUUAAUGUUUUUUACUGUCCUUUCAGUAUUUUCCCAUGAGAUUAAGGUCGUAUUUUUUAUGCAUGUUGA
rnacentral:lncRNA from 1 species